CGAAUAGGUUCCCCAUCACUUAUGAAAAAUAUUGAGAAUCAAUACAUAUAUGUAAAGAUUAUAGCAUCAAUUAUAAAAGGAGAGGAAAUAUCGAAAUGUUUAAAAAUGUUAUCGGUUCAAAUAUUACUACGAGUAUAAUAUUGAGGGAAACCAUGGAAAAAAGUUUGAAGUCCCUAAGUAAUAUAUACAGCGUUAUUUUAGAUUCAAUACCAGUUACAGAAUAUUCGGACACCCCUGAAACACAACUGCGAAAAGCAAUACAAGUACUUUUAUAAAUAUUAAAUUAAAUUUAUUUUUGUUCAAGUUUUA
rnacentral:sRNA from 1 species